AAGCUUGUUUGUGAGCUCCAGAGCCUUCCCCGCGGCUAUUUAAGCGUGCCCCGAGUCCCUCCGCACCUCACCAGCCUCUUCCCAAGCCUCCUCGCCCACCAGAGUCCUCGGCCCUCUCUUCUUUUCGCCGGAGUUCGUCUCGGCCAUCGCCGGUCUUCUCGUUUUCGGCGAACCUAGCCCCUCUCCUCUCUUCCAAAGCUGUCCACCGUGUUCCCCUCCUCUCAGAGAGCCUCCCCACCCCACUCGUUUGACACCGGAGUCCCUCUGGACGCGCCUCCCGGCGCUUGGCCGUCGCCGUUGCUCUCGGCCACCACCCCGACCGAGUCCAUCCGAGCCUCCUCUCUCCCUCCCGACUCCACCACCGUCCUCCCCGUGCUCCGCUGAGUCGUCCCACCCCCUUGCCCCCUCACCGGAGUGGCUGCAGCGCCGAGCCCCUCCACCACCGGCCACCUCUGUCUCCCCUCGGUACUCCACCGCCCCCACGUCCUCCUCUCCUCCCCGGGGCCGGCCGACCCCCUGAACGGACGCGCCACGCCGGGCCGCAGCCUCCGGUGGCCUCGCCCUGGCCGGGGACGGUCGGAGCCGGCCAGGCCGCCGCCGCUCCCUCCCCUGCUCCUCUCCUCUGUUCAGUGAGAACAGGAGCGAGAGGAGGAAGACGACGUGCGCCCGCGCCUCCCUCCCCUGCCCCUGGGCCCGGCCCGUCAGUGGCCCAGGCGCCCCCGCUGACGUGUCAAGUGUACACGUAUUCCGGGACCCGUUGGUGAUAAAAUUUUCAUAGAUUGGUCCUUCUUCUUCUACACCUCAUAACUCCGCAACCGUAACUCUGAUUGAGCCCCCUCCGAGAGAAAACCGUCCGGCGUUUUGCUCCGUGGCUUCACCGCACUUCUUCCUGGAGUCUCCGUCACCCCAGG